rnacentral:rRNA from 1 species
UACGUAGGUGGCAAGCGUUGUCCGGAUUUACUGGGCGUAAAGAGCGCGCAGGCGGUCGAUCAAGUCGAGUGUGAAAGCCCCCGGCUCAACUGGGGAGGGUCAUUCGAUACUGAUCGACUCGAAGGCAGGAGAGGGUAGUGGAAUUCCAGGUGUAGCGGUGAAAUGCGUAGAUAUCUGGAGGAAUACCGGUGGCGAAGGCGGCAUCCUGGACCAUUACUGACGCUGAGGCGCGAAAGCUAGGGGAGCAAACGGG